rnacentral:lncRNA from 1 species
UCUUUUUAUUAUCGAAAUAUAAAAUUAUAUUUUUCAUAAAAGUCUGUUGCUUAUUUAAACUUAUAUUAAAGCUGUGGGUCUGCCAUUAUAUUUUUUCAUUUCAUAUUUCCAAUUACAUAUGUUCCUGAAACUGUGCAGAAAGGCAAUGGGAGAGAUCGAAUGUGAACGGGUGAAUAAAUAACAUCUGUCAAUUAACAGCACGCUGUCGCUGAACAUCAGGUGAACAUAAGUCAACUGCGUGCAAAUAUGCAGCAACAAAUACUGUAAACAAAAAGGACAAAUGGAAAUGAAAGGAAUGCGUACGUGACUUUACUGGAAAGGGCAAAUAUGUGUAUAUAUAUGUAUAUGAACGAAAUUGUUGCUCGAAAAUAAUGCGAACUGCUAUUUGGAUGUCUGCGCUAAAACUUCUGAUUGAUCACCUAACAUUAUGACGAUUUAUUUAUUAUGGGCGAUUAGUACCACUGAGUGGAAGGACGCAAAUGUGAAUAUUUACCAGCGCACUACAGUCGCAUAUGGAAUACCUACAAAAAUGAAAUAGAGCUGUAAACCUUUGUCUGAUUUCAGAAACUCCAAAAAUGCAAGGAAGCUCUAAACUUCUGCCCGAUUUUGGUACCUCCAAAAAUGAAUGGAAGUUGUAAAUCUUGAACAGAUCUCUGUUGGUAUGAUCGGUCUAUAUUGUUUAAGAUUUAUACAUAAUCUUAGGGACGAGAUGAAAUAAAAUUAGCAUUGUGGUGUGAUAGCUCCCAAGCUGACUCCCGUCGAACCUGCUCCAAAAUACGAAACAAGCUGCCAAUUGGGAGCGCAUAUGGAAUGAAGUUAUUUCUUGAUCUGGAAUUAUGAUAUAGAGCUGAUGCUGAGCUGAUCCUUCUUAAGAAACAUAAAUGCA